UAUGGAAAAUGAUGCUAAUAAAAUGAGUGACUGAAGCAUUAGCUCUGCUGAAUGUUAAUUUGCACGUCAGUUUGAUCCCAAA